rnacentral:rRNA from 1 species
CAACGGUGAAACUCAAAGGAAUUGACGGGGGCCCGCACAAGCGGAGGAACAUGUGGUUUAAUUCGAUGAUACGCGAGGAACCUUACCCGGGCUUAAAUUGCAACCGAAUAUGGCGGAAACGCCAUAGCUAGCAAUAGCGGUUGUGAAGGUGCUGCAUGGUUGUCGUCAGCUCGUGCCGUGAGGUGUCGGCUUAAGUGCCAUAACGAGCGCAACCCUUGCCGAUAGUUACUAACAGGUCAUGCUGAGGACUCUGUCGGGACUGCCAUCGUAAGAUGUGAGGAAGGUGGGGAUGACGUCAAAUCAGCACGGCCCUUACGUCCGGGGCUACACACGUGUUACAAUGGGGGGUACAGAGGGCUGCUACCACGCAAGUGGAUGCCAAUCCCAAAAACCUCUCUCAGUUCGGAUUGAAGUCUGCAACCCGACUUCAUGAAGCUGGAUUCGCUAGUAAUCGCGCAUCAGCCACGGCGCGGUGAAUACGUUCCCGGGCCUUGUACACACCGCCCGUCAAGCCAUGGGAGCCGGGGGUACCUGAAGUGCGUAACCGCAAGGAGCGCCCUAGGGUAAAACUGGUGACUGGGGCUAAGUCGUAACAAGGUAGCCGU